AUUGUAGAAAGAUUUGGUACUGUUACUAAUCACACACCAUGUCUUGGAGCCUCAUUGUCUUGGUCGUCACUUUUCUGCACAAAUGUGCCCCUGAAGAACAGAUUCUGACACAGCCAUCGUAUGUUUUGGUGUCACAGGGGGAGACAGCCAGGGUGCCUUGUGUCUUUGCAUCCAAGUACAAAAGUUCUGAUACAGCAAUGAGAUGGUAUCAGUUUAAACCCAGCAGUCCUCCAAAGUUUGUGUAUUACUAUUACACCAGUACUAAGCAGGAUAGAGGCUCAGGUAUUCCAGACAGAUUCUCUGUGUCUCCUAAUCCUUCUAAAAAUCUCUGGGAGUUAGUGAUAAGUGGCAUGACGCCUGAAGAUGAAGCAGAUUAUUACUGUAGUGUUUGGGGUGACCCGAUGCACAGUGAUAUUUGUAAAGUGAGAAGUAAUACUAAAAUGAAGAGACUUUUCUUAAUCACUUCUGCAUAACCUUUUUAAAUAUUAUAAAUGCAGACAUAAAUAAAAAAAGAACUAGAAUAAGCCUAAACUUGA